AACGUAUAGGUUGAUCAGAUAUUUACACCUCAGAAAUUGUUAGGAGAAAUUUUUUUUUUUUUUGUCAUUUUGGGGACGCAACCGCAGCAUAUGGAAGUUCCCGGGCUAGGGGUCAAAUCGGAGCUACAGCCGCCGGCCUACGCCAGAGCCACAGCAACGCGGGAUCCGAGCCACGUCUGCAACCUACACCACAACUCACGCCAAUGCUGGAUCGUUAACCCACUGAGCAACGGCAGGGAUCAAACCCGCAACCUCAUGGUUCCUAGUCAGAUUCGUUAACCACUGCGCCACGACGGGAACUCCAUGAAUUUCAAUCUUGAGUAUAUUAAUGAUCACAUAAUGUUUGAUCAUUGAUUUCCUGGGCCCAUAGGCAAAGCUGCUGAUUUGUCUGCAUGAGUGAGUGACACUGGGUGAAUUAAAAGAUCUCUGAUUUGAUCCCCUAUUGAGCUAAGGAGCUUGGUCAAAUUAUGUUCCAACUCCAGACUCUUUCUUGUUUUCGGUAAUACUCUUUUAUCCAGGGAGAGAGUUCUUAUUCAACAGGGCAGUAAUGUUUUGUGCUUACAUUGCAAGAAAAAUUUUCAUUUAACUACUUGUGACCCAGUAGAAAGCCUGGUUCCCUAAAACAUGUAUAUUUUGGCUCUGCUACAUUGGGAUCUAUGAUCUGUCUUGAAUUAACUCUUCAGUUAUAUUUUGUGUACAGUGUUAGGUUGGGAUUGAAGUUUGUUUGUCUAGUUAGUUACAGAUACCUAGUAGUUCUAACACAAUUUGUUGAAAAGACUUUCUUUUAUCUCUUGAAUAACUUUGGUGCCAUGUUAUUGAGAAUCAAAUGACUGUAUGUGUAGAUCUACUUCUAGACUCUCUUGUCUUCCCCUGAUGUGUUUGUAUAUCCUUAGGUCAUUUUGACACCGUGUCACAUAGCAUACACAGCUUUACAAGUCUUGACGCGUUUCGUGUAUGUUGCUAUAGCUUUGUAAGAGGUCUUGAAAUUCUUUGCACUUGGUUCUUUUUCACCACAGUCGUUGCGGCUGCUUCUGGCACAUUGUGUUUUCCUAAGUGAUGGCAGUGGUAGCUCCCCAUUCCAUGUGCUCUUGCUUUUCAGUGUGACUUUGACACUCCUGCUGAGUGCUGGCGUCUGUUCCCUCUUGAAUCCGAGUGUGCGUUUGCCACUGCUCCAGCAGAGACAGUGGAAGUAACACUGUGUGGCCUUGGAGGCUCGGUCUUGGAUGGCAGUACAGCUUCCACCUAGCCCUUGAGUCUCCCUGCUCUCUCACUCCCUUUCUUGGGAGAGGCACCCUUGAACGUAGCCAGCGUACUGUAAGGAAACCCAAACCAAGCCACAUAGAGAGGCAGCCCGUGUGUGUGAAUGUGGUAGAUGAUUCCAGGCCUCUGCCUAUAAUUCUUCCACCUGCAGCUGUAGGCGUCAUGGAACGGAGCUGAGCCGUAAUGCUGUAUCUUGUCUGAAUUCCUGAUGCAGAGUCCGAGCCCACAAUGACUGAUCGUCUUGUUCCACGAAGUUUUGGGGUGAUGGGUGGUAUGGCUGUGGUAACUGGAAUACUGCUCUAGGACCUUGGCACCUCCAAGUACGUUUUGGAACCAGCUUCUCAAUUUUUUGAUAAAAAGACCUGCAGUGUUUUGUCAUUUACAGUGUAGAGUUCUUGUGCCUCUUUCAUUAAACUUAUUUUCCCAGAGAAGAGGGAUUAGACUUUUUGUUAAAUUUUUUUUCUGUUUUUAGGCAAAUUGCUUAACAUUUGAGCCUCCACUUAAUUAUGAAAUCAGGUUAAAAAAUAGAAGGUUGUUCUGUACCUACUUUGUUCUGCGGGCUUAAUUAUAUAUACAUGUUUAUUCCUUAGCACAUCGUCUGUUGAAUAGCAGGAGCCGAAGUAAACAUUACCUCUUAUCUUUAUUAUGUAAUCACUGGAGAUCCACAUAGGACUGAGGAUUUGUGAAUUUGCAGACUACUGAAUAGUGUUGAGUUACUCCUGAAGAGGACAUGGAAAUGAAGACAAUUUAUUUUGGGACUUCCCAGCGUGGCUCAGCAAGUUAGGAACCCGACUAGCACCCAUGAGGAAGCAGGUUCAAUCCCUGGCCUCGCUCAGUGGGUUAAGGAUUCAGCGUUGCCGUGAGCUGUGGUGUAGGUCGCAGAUGUGGCCUGGAUCCUGCAUUGCUGUGGCUGUGGUGUAGGCCUGCAACUGCAGCUCUGAUUCGACCCAUAGCCAAGGAACUUCCAUAUGCUGCAGGUCCAGCCCUAAAAAGAAAAAAAAAAAAAAA
ensembl:lncRNA